rnacentral:rRNA from 1 species
UACGAAGGGGGCUAGCGUUGCUCGGAAUCACUGGGCGUAAAGGGUGCGUAGGCGGGUCUUUAAGUCAGGGGUGAAAUCCUGGAGCUCAACUCCAGAACUGCCUUUGAUACUGAAGAUCUUGAGUUCGGGAGAGGUGAGUGGAACUGCGAGUGUAGAGGUGAAAUUCGUAGAUAUUCGCAAGAACACCAGUGGCGAAGGCGGCUCACUGGCCCGAUACUGACGCUGAGGCACGGAAAGCGUGG